CCUACGGGUGGCAGCAGUGAGGAAUAUUGGUCAAUGGACGCAAGUCUGAACCAGCCAUGCCGCGUGCAGGAAGACGGCUCUAUGAGUUGUAAACUGCUUUUGUACGAGGGUAAACGCAGAUACGCGUAUCUGUCUGAAAGUAUCGUACGAAUAAGGAUCGGCUAACUUCGUUCCAGCAGCCGCGGUAAUACGGAGGAUUCAAGCGUUAUCCGGAUUUUUUGGGUUUAAAGGGUGCGUAGGCGGUCGGAUAAGUUAGAGGUGAAAUCCCGAGGCGCAACUUCGGAAUUGCCUCUGAUACUGUUCGACUAGAGAGUAGUAGCGGAAGGCGGAAUGGAUGGUGUAGCGGUGAAAUGCUUAGAGAUCAUACAGAACACCGAUUGCGAAGGCAGCUUACCAAGCUACUACUGACGUUGAGGCACGAAAGCGUGGGGAGCAAACAGGAUUAGAUACCCCAGUAGUC
rnacentral:rRNA from 1 species